rnacentral:rRNA from 1 species
UACGUAGGGUGCAAGCGUUGUCCGGAAUUAUUGGGCGUAAAGGGCUCGUAGGCGGCCAACUAAGUCGGACGUGAAAUCCCUCGGCUUAACCGGGGAACUGCGUCCGAUACUGGAUGGCUUGAGUUCGGGAGAGGGAUGCGGAAUUCCAGGUGUAGCGGUGAAAUGCGUAGAUAUCUGGAGGAACACCGGUGGCGAAGGCGGCAUCCUGGACCGACACUGACGCUGAGGAGCGAAAGCCAGGGGAGCAAACGGG